AAUGGAAAACAUCAUUACAGCGGGAAUAUUGAAAGGGAAUACAUUUUUUGGGAAACACAUUUUCGGUUGAAGACGAAACCACGACCAGUAGCUCUGGGACAGUGACUUUUUUGGACCAGUGUUUCCCAAACUUGAACCUGCCCACGUUUAGUUUUUUUGCCCUAGCACUACACAGCUGAUUCUAAGAGUCAACGCUUGAUGAUGAGUUGGUUAUUGGAAUCAGCUGUGUAGUGCUAGGGCCAAACCCAGAACGUGCAUCCGGGGGCCCAAGGACUGAGUGCAAGCAAAUGAUGGGGAUUUGCAUCUGUUCCCGGGAAAGCAGUAUGUCCUUCACGUCGGGCUCGUCGGACUCGUUAAAGAAGAAAAAAAGCUUCUGCCAGUUCAUUCAAUGUUCUUUGCAUCUGUGUUAUAAUCCCUGUUUCCUGAUGACAAGACAGCUCCUCUAUGCACGUGUUGUGUUGCUGUGUCAGAGCCAUGCGUUGACCUUGCAUACAGAAGUCCACAAUCAUCGCAACAUCAUCAUGCUCACU